rnacentral:rRNA from 1 species
GACAGAGGGUGCAAACGUUGUUCGGAAUUACUGGGCGUAAAGCGCGUGUAGGCGGCUUGGUAAGUCAGGUGUGAAAGCCCUCGGCUCAACCGGGGAAGUGCACUUGAAACUGCCGAGCUAGAGUCCCGGAGAGGAUGGUGGAAUUCUCGGUGUAGAGGUGAAAUUCGUAGAUAUCGAGAGGAACACCGGUGGCGAAGGCGGCCAUCUGGACGGUGACUGACGCUGAGACGCGAAAGCGUGGGGAGCAAACAGG